AGUCGAGCGGUUUUAUGCUUUCGGGCAUAGAAUAGCGGCAAACGUGGUGAGUAACACGUAAGCAACCUGCCCUUAAGACUGGGAUAGCCCAGCGAAAGUUGGGGUAAUACCAGAUGAGAACACUGAGCGCAUGCUAAGUGAUUUAAAGGUAUGAGAAGACGCUUAAGGAGGGGCUUGCGGCCUAUCAGCUAGUUGGAGGUGUAACGGACCCCCAAGGCGAAGACGGGUAGCCGGUCUGAGAGGACGAACGGCCACAUUGGAACUGAGACACGGUCCAGACAUCUACGGAUGGCAGCAGUUUCGAAUUAUUCACAAUGGGCGAAAGCCUGAUGGUGCGACGUCGCGUGGAGGAAGAAGGUCUUUGGAUUGUAAACUCCUGUCAUUAGGGAGCAAAGUGCAAGUGAAGAGCUUGUUUUGAGUUAACCUAAAGAGGAAGCAGUGGCAAACUCCGUGCCAGCAGCCGCGGUAAUACGGAGACUGCGAGCGUUACUCGGAAUUACUGGGCGUAAAGGGUGCGCAGGCGGUUGUAUGUGUUGAGUGUGAAAGGCCGAGGCUUAACUUUGGCAGGCGCUCAAAACUGUACGACUAGAGUACUGGAGAGGUAAGCGGAAUUUCUGGAGUAGCAGUGAAAUGCGUAGAUAUCAGGAAGAACACCGAAGGCGAAGGCAGCUUACUGGACAGAGACUGACGCUCAGGCACGAAAGCGUGGGGAGCGAAAGGGAUUAGAUACCCCUGUAGUCCACGCUGUAAACGUUGUACACUAGGUUUUGGUGCAUCGAUCGCAUCAGGAUUCAAGCAAACGUGAUAAGUGUACCGCCUGAGGACUACGGCCGCAAGGCUAAAACUUAAAGGAAUUGACGGGGACCCGCACAAGCGGUGGAGCAUGUGGCUUAAUUCGAUGCAACGCGAAGAACCUUACCUAGGCUUGACAUGUAGAGGACGUUACGAGAAAUCGUAAUUCUCUUCGGAGCUUUUACACAGGUGCUGCAUGGCUGUCGUCAGCUCGUGUCGUGAGAUGUUCGGUUAAGUCCGGCAACGAGCGCAACCCUCGUUCUUAGUUACCAGCGGGUAAAGCCGGGGACUCUAGGAAGACAAACUGAAAAGUGGGAAGGUGGGGAUGACGUCAAGUCAGUAUGGCCCUUACGUCUAGGGCUGCACACGUGCUACAAUGCCCGGUACAAAAGGAGGCGAGACCGCGAGGUGGAGCGAACCCUAAAAGCCGGGCCCAGUUCGGAUUGAAGUCUGCAAUUCGACUUCAUGAAGUUGGAAUCGCUAGUAAUGGUAUAUCAGCUACGGUACCGUGAAUACGUUCCCGGGUCUUGUACACACCGCCCGUCAAGUCAUGAAAGCCGGUUUUACCCAAAGUACGCUCAGCCAACCCGCGAGGGAGGC
rnacentral:rRNA from 1 species